rnacentral:lncRNA from 1 species
GUUUAAAAUAUGAAACUAUUGAAACAGAGAUCUAUAUAAAUACAAUUACGAAAAAAUAUUUACGAAACUUUAUAAGUCGCGCGUAGCACAAAUGAUUAAAAAAAAGGGAGCUUUAGUUUUAAAACAUAAUAUAGUCUACUAAUUUGGAAGAUAGGAACACAAUUUCAUCUAAUUAGCAUAAGGCCAAAGACUAAAAUGUAGUAUCUAAUUUUACAAAAAUAUCAUUAAAAAAAUAUCAAAAUAACACACAAUGUCAUUCCUUUUAAGGCAAGCAUACUAUGCCACAUGUCCACAUGCAGCCACCCAUCGCUGUACACCAGCCGCUGGCGCCACCCGUGGCCGAACGCCCAUCAUCGGCCUGCCACAUUCUGCGGAGGACCAACUCUGUUCCCCUUUAUUUACCUUUAAAACAAAGAUUUUGUGUCAUUAAAGGGACUCAAACCUUAACCCUCAAAGGAAGAGGGCUCACUCACAAACCAUUACAAUUAUACAAUAUUUAUAUAAACACAGUCUUAAAUACCGAUAUUAUCGGCGAAAUAUCGCCGAUAAUAUCGUUUUUUUGAAUGGGCGAUAUUUUAGCCCAUAUCCACUUAAUUAUCGUCAAUAUAUCGAUAUUUUCGUCGAUAUUAUCGCGAUAAUUUCGGAGGCGAUAAUUUCCUACUCAUUCGUGCUUUAUUUGGGCAAUAUAUCGCGAUAUUAUCGAUAAUAUCGAUAAUAUCGCGAUUGAAACUGAAAAAUACAUUAAAUGUGUUGAGAAAUGGUGCUUUUGCCAACACGGGGAUUCGAACCUCUCUCAAUUGCAUCCAUCUACUGGGCCUUAUCCACCAGGCUGCGAAUCAAUUUGUUAACAAUGUUACGACAUGUAAUAUUUAUAUGGUCUUAAACGUUUUACAAGCUAAUAUUAUCUAGGAUAAAUUUCCAUUUAGAAAAAAAAAAAUCCCUAAUAUUAUUUUAUUAUGUUUAAUUUAGGCAUAUGUUUAAUGUUACGACGUGUAAUAUUUAUAUGGCCUUAAAAAUUUAUGCAAGCUAAUAUUAUCUAGGAUAAAUUUCUAUUUAUUAAAAAAAAAAAUCCCUAAUGAUAAAUUUAGGCAUAUGUUUAAUUUUAUUUAUUAUUUUAUUAUGGAGGGUUUUUUUUUUUUUUUUGGUGGUUAUAUAUUACGGAGUUGUAUUAUUAUUCACUAUUGAGUUUUAAUAUUGUUCAUUAUAUGUGAUACUAAGUUUUAACUUUAAUAUGAAUUCUUUCUAUGUGGUAGUAAGUUACUCAUAUAUAUAUAUAUAUAUAUUUUGUCAAGCUCAUAUAUCUUAUCAUAUGCAAUAUAUUGUAGUAAAUUAAUAUAACUAAAAAAUUGUGGUGUGUUUAAUUUUCUUUCACUAAUUACUACAUAUUUUCUAAAGACACGGUGUUUGUCAGGUCGCUACAUAAUCAACUUAAAUCACUAUAACCCACCAUGCCAUGCAUUUUAUUCCAGUUUUUUGUGAUAAAAUAAUAGACAAUUGACUAAAUAAACAUCCUCUAAAGUUUCAAUAAAAAUUUCCAAGUUUUUCUCACAAUUUCCUUGAUUUUUAUUCAAUUUUUAUCGAUAUCGAUAUUUUGUCGAUAUUUCCAUCGAUAUAUCCGAGUUUUUGGACCACCGAUAUUUCCGAAACUCUCGAUAUUUUAGACCUUGUAUAUAAACAAUCAAUAAUUUUAAAUAAAAAUAAAAUAAAAU